rnacentral:rRNA from 1 species
GACGAACGCUGGCGGCGUGCCUAAUACAUGCAAGUCGAACGAAGCUUUUUUAACUGGUGCUUGCACCGACUUAAACAACUGAGUGGCGAACGGGUGAGUAACACGUGGGUAACCUGCCCCAAAGCGGGGGAUAACAUUUGGAAACAGAUGCUAAUACCGCAUAACCACAGAAACCACAUGGUUUCUGUGUCAAAGAUGGUUUCGGCUAUCACUUAGGGAUGGACCCGCGGCGUAUUAGCUAGUUGGUAAGGUAAUGGCUUACCAAGGCAAUGAUACGUAGCCGAACUGGGAGGUUGAUCGGCCACAUUGGGACUGAGACACGGCCCAAACUCCUACGGGAGGCAGCAGUAGGGAAUCCUCCACAAUGGACGAAAGUCUGAUGGAGCAACGCCGCGUGAGUGAAGAAGGUUUUCGGAUCGUAAAACUCUGUUGUCAGAGAAGAACGUGUGCGAGAGUAACUGUUCGUGCAGUGACGGUAUCUGGCCAGAAAGCCACGGCUAACUACGUGCCAGCAGCCGCCGUAA